GGACGCCUAGCUCAGCUGGUAGAGCGCUCGACCGAUAAUCGAGAGGUGGCAGGUUCGAACCCUGUGGCGUCCACCA
rnacentral:tRNA from 1 species